GUUCAAGCACUGCAUGCCAAACAAAAAGGAAUUCCUCCCAAUGCAGAAAAAUAUUCCAUUGAACUAUUAAAUAGUGGAUGAAAAAAUCCUAAAAAAUUUAUAGCAACAUCUUAGCAUUUGUUAACACAUAAAUAGUAAAUAGGCAAAUGAAAUGCACAGCAAAGGCAAUGAGAGUUGAAGUUAGCAGGUCACCAUAUACAGCAAAAUGCAAAAGAAAAGAAAUCGGUAAAACCAUUAUUCUCCAGAUUUUCUUAUUUACU
rnacentral:misc_RNA from 1 species